rnacentral:lncRNA from 1 species
CAAGAAUCCAAUACUCAAAUUUCAUCAAACUUAUAUAAAAAGUUUACUAACAUGAAUUUACACAUUUUCUAAAAUUUUGAGCCAAAAGCUUGUCAAAUUUCUCAAGAUAUAGCUCAAGACACAACCACUAGUAAAUCAGGUCACUUACUAUCCUUACAUUGCAUGUGCUGACUUCAAAAUCCAAUAACUCAUUCAAUUCGACUUAGAAUCCAACAAAUAGUGUACAAAAAAUGUAGUUGCAAAAGUUUUCUCUCUAGUCGCGGUCGCAGAUCCUCAAUUGCCUUCUGUAUGUGUGCGUUAUGUCAAAAAUAGUGACAGUAGCUCCCAAAUCAACACCUUAACUUUGAGUGCCUAUAUCUCCUUCAUAUAGACUCCAAAUCAUAUAAGAUUUGUACCAAAACUAUAGCCAAAAACCUAAAAUUGCUGACUCUAGCCUUUAAAUCUCAAGUAGCUCCAAAAAAACUCACCCUAAUCUCUAAUAUGGCCUCGGGCAGCCUCCUCAAAGCUCAUUGGUCAUGAUUUUUGACCAAUAGGAACGGAGAUUUUCAUCAUCCAUCUCCAUCCAUCUAUAUUGGUGCCCUAAUUAUUUCCUUUGCUACCAAAACCCUUCUUUAAUCCUUUUUCUUGUAAGAUUUACAUAAUUUAUGCUCUAAACACCAAUUAAAAGAAGCAAAAUAAGUUUCCAAAGGUCACCAAUGUCUAGCAAAGGUGACUCUAAAUAUUUAGAAGUUACUAUCAACCAAAACCAAUCUUCAAAGCCACU